rnacentral:rRNA from 1 species
GCGACGGGUGAGUACACGUGGGCAAUCUGCCCUUCACUCUGGGACAAGCCCUGGAAACGGGGUCUAAUACCGGAUAACACCUGCCCGGGCAUCUGGGUGGGUUAAAAGCUCCGGCGGUGAAGGAUGAGCCCGCGGCCUAUCAGCUUGUUGGUGAGGUAGUGGCUCACCAAGGCGACGACGGGUAGCCGGCCUGAGAGGGCGACCGGCCACACUGGGACUGAGACACGGCCCAGACUCCUACGGGAGGCAGCAGUGGGGAAUAUUGCACAAUGGGCGAAAGCCUGAUGCAGCGACGCCGCGUGAGGGAUGACGGCCUUCGGGUUGUAAACCUCUUUCAGCAGGGAAGAAGCGAAAGUGACGGUACCUGCAGAAGAAGCGCCGGCUAACUACGUGCCAGCAGCGGG